UGAAAUCCAUGGCAGGAGAGAGAAAAGAAAGACAACCCACCCUUUGGUACACGCUUUGUGCCUCCUGCUGUGUUGGGAUCCAGAAGGAGAAACCUUUCCUCAGGACUGGGGCUCAAGACAACCCACUCCUGGCUGAAGCCAGAGCUCCACAGUCCAUGUGAAAUCCCACCUGCAAUUCUGCAACUGCUUGUAAAGAAGGAGUUGUAAAAGAAACCUGUAGAUGAUAACGAACAGAUUCUCAGCUGUGUCGAACCCUGGAGCGCUGCUGUGGAAAUGUGAAGAGCUGCAGAGGUUCAACCUCUUUGAAAAUCUAAUCACUGAAUAUUUCUAGUCAGCUUCCUCUGCCAAAGGAAUAUGAAAUUUUCCAAGUCUGUGCCAAACUGUUCAUGAACUGUUUCUCAAGAAGAUUUGGAUUAUGUAACCAAUAAUCGUGGGACACCUCUUCACUUUCUAAAUUACAUCUGGCUGAGAUGAAUUUUUACGUGGAGAACACAACAAAAAUGUGAAAUACUGUUUGUGCUAAAGUGCAGUUAUGACAUAUGAAAAUCUCUAUGGUAACAUGGCAUAACCUAAAGCAACUGUGUGUUCACACAAGAGACAUCCAACACCUUUGUCAUUUUGUUCUUUAUUAUUUCUCACGGAUACACUACUUUAAAGACUGAGGCAACUUCUCCAUUCUCCAACCAAAGGUGCAACCCAGAUUUAUAUCAGCUGUAAUCCUUGGCAAAGUAGUUAUCAGUUAAUUUCCUGCAUAAUUUCUCCAGAAACACACUGGAAGUGCAGCCUGACUAUUUUUGGUCUGGUUGAUGAGAAGAUCAACAUGAUGACCCAGCAACGUGCACUUGCAGCCCAGAAAGUCAAACAUAUCCUGGACUGCAUCCAAAAGAAUUGUGACCAGCAGAUCAAGGGAGGGGAUUCUCCCCCUCUACCCCACUCUGAUGAGACCCCACCUGCAGAGCUGCCUCCAGCUCGGGGGCUCUCAUCACAAAAAGGACAUGAAGCUGCUGGAGCAACUUCAGAGAAGGCCACAAAGGUGCUCCAAGGGCUGGACCCCCUCUGCUCUGGAGACAGGCUGGGAGAGGUGGGAGUGUUCAGCCUGGGGAGGAGAAGGAUUCAGAGAGACCUUGGAGACCCUUCCAGUGCCUAAAGGGGCUCCAGGAGAGUGGGAGAGGGACUUUGGACAAGGGCCUGGAGGGACAGGACAAGGGGGAACGGCUUCCCACUGACAGGG